rnacentral:lncRNA from 1 species
UUAUGAUCAAAGUAAUUCAAUUAGCUCAGACUGACAUGCUUCUCAGUGGCCAUGUCAACUUUCCCACCCCUGGCCUUGUACAGUGACUUGUGCCUAUAAUUCCAAUGCUUUUGGGAGUCCGAGGCAAGAGGAUCUUGAGACCAGCCUGGGCAACAUAGCAAGGCACCAACUCUACAAAAUAUUUUAAAAAAUGAAUAGGGCAUGGUGAUGCAUGCCUGUGGUUCUACAUACUAGAGAGGCUGAGGUGGGAGGAUUGUUUGAGCCCAGGAAUUUGAUGUUACAGUGAGCUAUGAUCAUGCCACUGCACUCCAACCUGGGUGACAGGGUGAGAUGCAGUUUCAGAAAAAACAAAACCAAAAACACAACACCUUCCCCAUCCCUGGACAUUCUGUUUUAUGAAGAAUAAGGGCAUAGAACUGUGUUAAGUUAGUAUAUCCAAACUAUCUUCAGCUUGACACCGCUAUGAAUUUUUCUAGAUUUGGCUGCACCAUGAUUUUGGGUGUGGAUAAUAUUUUGCUUUUCCUGCUUUUUCUCACUUUCUCCUCUCCCUCCUUCCAUUUUUUUGUCUGUUUCUUUCAUUAAAAAAAAUAUAUAUAUAUAUAUAUUUUUUUUUUUUUUUUUGAGACAGAGUUUCGCUGUUGUUACCCAGACUGGAGUGCAAUGGCACAAUCUUGGCUCACCGCAACCUCCGCCUUCUGGGUUCAAGCAAUUCUCCUGCCUCAGCUUCCCGAGUAGUUGUGACUACAGGUGCGCACCACCAUGCCCAGAGAUACUUACUCACCCCUGCAACUGCCUAUAUUGGGAAAGAUGGAACCAGAAGAGGCAAGAUUAUGUGUCUACAUUCAGGAAGAAAGAAAGAAAGACAAUCUUCAUUUUAAAAUUCCCAUUUUAAGUAUAACCUCAAGUAUAAUUUGCUUUCUCUAACAGUAUAACAGACAGCAUGAAAUGUGCAAAGGACUUAAGUUCAAUGAGGCUUACGUAUGAGUUUUAAUGGAGAAGGUUAAUUUUUAACUGCUUCUAAGACUUCAUAAUAUGAUAGGAAAAAUUAUCAAGAGAUAAUUAGAAGAGAAUGACAUUAUAAUCCCCAAAGAAAAACAUAUUUUGUAAGCAAACCCGAAAUUCAGCACAAUCUUAAAUUAUAAUCCCAGCUGGAUGGGAUUAGCAUUUUUGCAACACAUUGAAACAAGAAUGUUCAGUGCACUGAGCCACGAGCUUGACUUUGUUGAUCAUUCUCUAUCAAAACCCAGAUUUUUAAAUAACAGUACACCACUGGACCCAGAUUCAAUGGUUUCCCAAAAACCGAUUUUUACUGUCCGAUGUUAACAAACUAGUGUCAGCCCAGUUGGAUGAUUUAGAUGUUCCUGAAUUGUUAGGAUGUUCAGGGUGGCCCAUCAUCAUUGCACAAAUUGCAGCAGUUCACAGCAAUGGUAAAUGUUUCCCGUCUCCCGACAUACUGGCACAUUUAAAUUAUGUUGCAUUGCGAUUCUGUCUCUUUAAACAAGAAGAAAAUUAAGCUUCAAGUUUAAUUAAACAUUAUUUUAAAAAUUGGGUUUUGGUUUAUAAAAUUCACCCUGUGAUUCUUCCAAGUUCCUUCCUUGAGAAAAUAGAUUGCACGUUUCGUUGGGAUUUGACCUUAAUUAAUCCUGUACGUUGUGAUCCACCCUCUUGCUGAAACAGUCUUAUGAAAAGGAAUGCAAGCUAUGGGCUAAGAUAACAAUCGGCCAUUAACUUCUGUGUGUGAUGCUGGCUGUGGUCCAUGAGCGUGGAAUUCAAAACCCAUUGUACACAGUAAUGUCCAGGGCUUAGUGCUCUAUGGUCGAGAGACAAAAUAAACUAUGCAGAACAGCAUCUUUACACAGUCUACAUGGAUUUACACUAGAGCAAAUGCUCUGAAACAUUCAUAAUGCAGCAUGUGCGUUGGCAUCUAAUCCUGCCGUGUCAGAUUACACAGAAGAUGGGUCAUUCCAGCAAUGCCAACUGAAUUAAACAAGCAAAAGUGAUCACUUUCCAGAUACCAUUAUUUUAGUAAGAAUGAUUUGCAGACUUAUCACUUAAAACUUUAAAAAUAUCUGAUUAUUUCCUUCUAAUGUUUUAGAUAGUAUCCUAGGGCAGUAGCUCUCCUUACUAACAUAACUUGACUGCCUUCUAAAUAAGAAAAGGGUUUGAAUUGAUAAAUAACUUUUGUCUGUUGAUCUAAAUCAUAUGUAGUCCAGAUAAAUAUAACACAUUUGCAGUACUAUUAAUAAAGCAAGUGACUAUAGCAGCUGAAAUCUUUUAUGUAACGUAGCUUUUUCUUUUGGCCGGGACACUCAUCACCUCCCCAAUAAGUUUU